rnacentral:rRNA from 1 species
GACGAACCGUGCGAACGUUGUUCGGAAUUACUGGGCGUAAAGGGCGCGUAGGCGGUUCGUUAAGUCCUGUGUGAAAUCCCCCGGCUCAACUGGGGAACUGCACAGGAAACUAGCGGGCUUGAGUUCGGGAGAGGGAAGCGGAAUUCCGGGUGUAGCGGUGAAAUGCGUAGAUAUCCGGAGGAACACCGGUGGCGAAGGCGGCUCCCGGACCGACACUGACGCUGAGGCGCGAAAGCUAGGGAGCAAACGGG